rnacentral:rRNA from 1 species
UACACUCCUGCGGGAGGCAGCAGUGGGGAAUUUUGGACAAUGGGCGAAAGCCUGAUCCAGCAAUGCCGCGUGAGUGAAGAUGGCCUUCGGGUUGUAAAGCUCUUUUGUCAGGGAAGAAACGGUGAAAGCUAAUAUCUUUUGCUAAUGACGGUACCUGAAGAAUAAGCACCGGCUAACUACGUGCCAGCAGCCGCGGUAAUACGUAGGGUGCAAGCGUUAAUCGGAAUUACUGGGCGUAAAGCGUGCGCAGGCGGUUUUGUAAGUCUGAUGUGAAAUCCCCGGGCUCAACCUGGGAAUUGCAUUGGAGACUGCAAGGCUAGAAUCUGGCAGAGGGUGGUAGAAUUCCACGUGUAGCAGUGAAAUGCGUAGAUAUGUGGAGGAACACCGAUGGCGAAGGCAGCCCCCUGGGUCAAGAUUGACGCUCAUGCACGAAAGCGUGGGGAGCAAACAGGAUUAGAAACCCGGGUAGUCCCAUGA